AUGGGACGCCGGGGCGGACGAGGAGGUGGAGGGGUGGGAGGGCGCGGACGAAGGGACGAACGGCCAGGAGGUGGCUGCGACGUCAAGGGCAUGCGCGAUCGCCGCCCUGACGACAUGGGUAUACGGGACCGCCGGCCCGAAAACCGCCCCCACUGCAGCGCUGGUCGUAGCCCCUCCCCGGGCUACCGCCUUCGCCGCAGUCCUCGCAGCCGCAGCCCCUCCCCGGGCUACCGUCCUCGACACAGUCCUCGCGGCCGCUCCCCGCACCACCGCUUGCGCCGCAGCCGUUCUCUGGACCACCGCGGAAGGCGCUCGAGGGAUGACGACGGCGAACGUAACCUGCCCCGCCGCGGGCAAGGGGACUACGGGAGGGAACCCUUUCACCAGGAGCGCGAUCGCUGCAGCCCGAGAGGAAGCCAUGAUGGUCGCGGCGACCGCGGUUCAAGAGCAAGCUAUGUCGGUCGCAGCGAGCGUGGCCCGAACAGGAACUUUGACAGUCGUGGCGACUGUGUGACUAGCGGGAGGUAUGAUGCUCCACCGGACUACAUGCUCCCAGAACAUCCAUACGACCAGGGGCGUGCUGCCAAGAAUGCAAGUGACUUCUUUGGAGGCCCUGGUGACCGGAGCAUUAACAAUGGGCAUGGGUUUUAUGGGGAAGAUGCCAUGAAACUCAGAGUUAGUUCCACGGGGUUGGGAAGGACUAGCUCAAUGUACCUGGACAGCAGGUCGCCUCUGCCUCCACCACCUACAAUUUCAUUGGCUCCUAGGACAAUGUACCCCUCGGUGCCACUUAGAGAGACUGGAUUCCUCACAGGGAGUUCAAUGGUGAAAGGUGGGGAGAGCCUUGGCGCUGGAAGUACCCGGUUGCCUCAGGAUGACACCAGGUUUCACUACCCUGACCAUUUGCCUGGCCCAUAUGUUGGGAACAGAGAAAUUGAAAGGCUUGGCCCUAGUAGAGAUGUGCUUAGUGACAGGGAUCGAGAAUUGGAUAGGCUUUACUCUAGUAGGGGCGUGUAUGGUUCGGACAUCACACCAUCUAUGCAGUUGAAGCGAUAUGCUGGUUCUUCACCAUUUGUACUUGCCAAGGACAGCCCAUACCGAGUGCAUGGUGGAGGUUAUGAGCCAAGCAAUUGCUACGCCAUGGAUGACAUAAGUAAACCAGGUUCCUUGGGACAUGGGAGUGGUCAGGUUCACAGGUUCUCAGAAAGUUCACUAGAGCACCUCAGUGGUCACGAUGACAAGAUAUCACUGGACAUCACAAGUCAAACACACUCUAAGUAUCCACCAACAACUGCAUCCAUGGAAUAUGAUGCAGAUGGAUAUGGUAGAAGGGGUCCAGAAAAUGACACAUAUUUUGCUUUUGGGAACUUCCGUGGAAAUUGCUCACGGGAUUCAAGGUCUAGCCCCAGGCACACAUUGGUCUCAUCACCUUUGACAGACCUCAAGGAUGAAAGGAGUAAUGCACAAGUGAGACUAUCCCGCAGGAUGGGAGAGGAUGCAGAAUACAACACAUAUCAUAAUUAUCAUAGAGAUACACCCACAGGUUAUCCCAAGCCAAGGAAUGCUCAUGUACGCUACUCACGCUCUCCUGAAACUUACCCUCUUGAACUUGCAAGGCAACCAGUUCGACAACGUGAGUUUGCUUCAUUGGAGAAUGGCUGUCAGUCAAGUCAUCUGGAAGUUUCUCCCGUGGCUUAUAGAAGAGGAUCCCGGGGAGCUGCAUAUAGUACUCGUGAUAUGGAUAUGUACCAAGCUGAUGGCCCACUAGGACGAGAGUAUUACAAUGAUGAAAUUGGACUAGAGCAUUACAAUGAUGAGAUUGACCCAUAUGACCUAUCACCUGAGAAAUUGUCAAGAAGAAGUUGUGAUAUCGUUGACGAUGAAGAUGGAUAUGACGCCAGAUAUGAUAUGUCAUCGAGUCAUAAUGUUUUCUCAAGAGUUGCUUUGCCAGACAACAUGAAUGAUGAAUGGAUUGAUGCUGAAGAAGGUAAUCAUCCUCAUCCUAACGGGUUAGCUCAUGGGCGCUCAAAAUAUAAGCCUAUGUCUCAGAGGCUGUCCAGACCUAUAGUCCAGCCACAAAUUGGGGGAUCUGCCAUGCUUGGAAGAGGAAGAGGGGGAGGAUGGACCAAAAGUGCGAAAAAGAGACUGAGAGUUGGUCUUCCUCAAUUCCAUGGUGGAUAUACAUCAGAGAGAAAUGAAUCUGUUCGGCCAAACAAAUUUACAAAGCUGUCAGAAGAUAAUCAGAAACGCACCGAACCAGACUACGAGGAUGCACCUGAUGAAGAGGAUCUUUCUGUGCAGAAAGAUCCACCAGAAGGUUCAGAAGAAUUCAGUAAACAGGUUCACCAGGCCUUCCUCAAGUUCUCAAAGAUAUUAAACGAGAGCCCGACCAUGCAGAAGAGAUACCGUGAGGCACCAAAAGGAUCUUUAUCUUGCCGUGUAUGUGGCAGUGUCGCAAGGAAGUUUCCAGACAUUGAUGCCUUGAUGUCACAUGCUUACGAUACACACAAACCGGGUUUGAAAACAAAGCAUUUAGGUUUUCACAAGGCACUCUGUGUUCUGAUGGGGUGGAAUUGGCAUGUUGCUCCAGACACUUCUAAAGCCUAUCAGUCUGUUCCCGCUGAGGAAGUAAAUGCCAUGAAGAGAGAUCUGAUGGUAUGGCCUCCAGUUGUCCUGAUACACAACAGCUCUAUCACAAACAACGCAAAGAUCGCCGAAGCAAAGACUGUGACAAUUGAAGAAAUCGAAGGUGUACUUGCAGAUAUUGGUGUUGCAUGUGACAAGGCAAAGAUAAGCCAGGGAAGACCAGCCAAUCAGAGUGUGUUUGUGGUCAAGUUCCUACCAACAAUAUCUGGAUUUCAGGAAGCAAUGAGAAUUCACGAUCAUUUCAGCUCUGAGAACCACGGCAAGGAAGAACUCCAUCAGAUACUAUGUGAGAAAGGUAAGAGUUCAGUUCCUGCUGACAAACUCGAAGAGCUGCUGUAUGCACAUAUUGCGCUGGCUGAAGAUCUCGGGUACCUGGACGAAGAGACAAAGAAGAGAUGCGUUGUCAGGAGCAAGAACGAUAUCGAGGCCAGGGCAGAUGCCACACUGAACUUGGACACGUGA
rnacentral:rRNA from 1 species